rnacentral:lncRNA from 1 species
GGAUUUGGGAGGAGGGUUAGGAUUAGUGGAACUGCCGUAAUGUGAAUGGACGGGACGACUAGGAGCGAACCGUCGUAGUAUUAAAGGACGUGCGGGGACGAGUAGGAGCGAACUGCCAGCGUGCGAACGGCAGGGUAGUGACUUUCCAUUCUCCCAUGAUACGGGCUUCCGAGAGCCCUUGGAUCUGAGAUCGAAUGGUUGCAUGGCGUGAUUCUAGACCUAUGGGUGAAUAUCCUAUCCUGGAGGGUUAUUCUGCAAAUUUUCAGCAACUUAGCAUGCGAUCGUUUGAUCUCAGAUCCAAGGGCUGCCAGCAGCCCGUAUCAUGGUCGCUCCUACCACGACCGUCGCGUCGCUCGCGCGGUCGCGCCCUUGGAGAUUUAACACGGUGCGUUAGGCUAUCUGAUUUUGGCAUGUCAUACAUAGUCAUCACUUAGUCACUCAUACUACAACAAGGUUGGCUAUAAGUGUAUUUUUUUUACUCCUCUCUAUCUCUUUCUUCGUACUCCCUCCGUCCCAUAAUAUAAGAACGUUUUUGACACUAGUGUAGUGCCAAACACGUUCUUAUAUUAUGGGACACAGGGAGUACUAGUAUUUAUUGCAUUUGCCAAGGAGUGACCUCUUCCAAUGAAAUGAUGUUGCUAAGUUUGCUUCAUUUAAUUAGUUAUAGACUCAAAAUUGUCUUUUCAUCUAGGUAUGCGCGCUUAGCACCGUUUCUUCCUUGGGUCACCAAACUAGUCUCUCUCUUCUUGAUUAACUUGCCACAUCAGACUUUAUGCCUAUGUGGCAAGCUUAAGCACCUGUAGGAGCAAGUAAAAGUAAGUACAAUAGUGCGCUUUACAUGGCAUUUUUGCAUAUGUGGAGGAAAGAGAGGCAAGGAAAAAGUGGAGAAGUGGGCUCUCAUGCAAGAGCCAGCCUCUACUACAUGGUGGAGCAUUGGGAGAGGCACCUGUAUCGAGGUGGUCAGGAAUCGGGAGACUCACGCCGGUCGUAGCGCCGCAGUUAAAAUGAUAAUGGCAAGUCAAAUCACGGGGGCCCACCUGUCCAGCAGUAACUCGCUGUCAAAUCACACAUCCCUACGUUUGCAGCAGCCUACUCCCUCGUCUUCUCGCGUCUCUGUCGAACCGACUAGGCGGAACUGCCCCGCCUACCGCGCAGGAAAAGCCCCGCCCUCGACUUUUAAAUACAACUACAUCCGCUUAAGAAUCCAAUGAUAUACUUUUUGUGACAUAGUAACUCAUAUUUAGUUAGUCAAAUGGAUGACCUAGAACUACGUGCAGGCCCUAUAAACCGAGACGCCUAAAAAUAAAAAAACCGAGACGGAGAGGGUAGUUCAGCACGUAUCUUUUUAGAUCAAUAUAGUCGGGAUUCACCAAGGAGCAAAACCAAGUGGUAGGUUGCUCCUGUCGUGUUGGCGUAGCAACUCAAGCAGGGUCAGUCCGCACACGAAAUGGCGACACACUUAACAGGACCCCUUUGACCGACAUGUGGCUCAUCCACCAUCUUGUUCCACGUGCGAUGCACCAAAUUACAGUUCGGAGCAGCGGUUGGAAUUGGAGGCACCCCGGUCGUAGCGCCGCAGUAGUAGAAAUGAGCGAUGAGGGGUCAAAUCACAAAGCCCAACCUUUCCCGCAUUAAGCUGGACGGACGAAGCAACCAUCAUUUCACUCUAGGGCGCAAGAGCAUAAAGAAAAGAGAAAACAAUGAUGCGUGCGGCAGCUACCUAGGGCACCCGAGGGUAGGGGUCUCCACUACAGAUCCUUUUUUUUUAAAGCGCCUCCACUACAAAUCGGCUUCUCCCUCGUCCUCUUGAAGAAAACCGAUGAUGAGUGCGGCGGUAGGGUUUGCAGGAGUACUACGGCGUGCGGGGCCACGUCGUAGUAAACGGGUUCGAGUCAACGCCUUAAAUAUGUGUGGGCCGCUUGGUUUUACGGGAACGAGACAGCAUUUUGGGUUCGGGGACCAGUGGAGAUAUAGUACGUACAAAAAAUUGUGGACAUAGGUUCGACCGAAAGGCAAUGAUGCAUGGGCCCUGCAUUUUGAUAUACCCGGGGCCGCGUGAAAUUUGCUACUCUACUCAAAACUAGUAAGGUACACAUGUAUUGAACGCAUGAGAUUUCGAAACCAAAUUAUGAAUAAAUACACACUAUAGCAUGUAAAGCUUUGAGUCAUAUAUGCAUGAUGUAGAUGUUCGUUUAGUUCUUAUAGUUCAUGUCAUUCAAAAUCAAUUAGUUUUAUAAAAAUGUUAAGAUUCAUGGGGUUGUGCAUUGUAAAUCAUAAAAUAAAAAACAAAUAAUGGCAAUUCAUUUAGAAAAAAUAAUCAAUUAUGAUACAGAAGAUUCUAGAACAAAGGAGAAGUGCUUGUGUUUUGAGGUUUGUGCAUUAUGCUUAAGUUCAACCAUGGAGUCUUCUAAAUUGUACAUGUGGCAGAUCUGGUGGAAUGUUGAUGAUAUCCAAUGGCCAGUAGUGCUCGGAUUUGCCUAUCUCUGCACUGUCGGGUUAGCAUCAUCCAGCAACCAUCUUUCAAAGUUAUUGGCACACUAUAUAGUUCUUGUGCCAUAGUUGCAUGUUUUGGAAAAAAGCUACUAGUGGGUUGUACUAUCUAUUUAGGAAUAGAAGAUGUAUACAUGGAAGUUGUAGGGAAAGAGAUGACAUGGAGCAUCUCAAUUCCUAUGAGUAGGGAUUGGAAAAGAGAUGUCAUUUGGUUCACAUCAUAGGAACUUUUCUAUUGAAUCUAGAGAUGACAUGUAUCUCAAUUCCUAUGAGGAGGGAUUAGAAAAGAGAUGUAAUUUGGUUCAUAUCAUAGGAACUUUUCUAUUGAAUAUACGCUAAUGUUUAUUUUCCUUUGAAAUUAAGGGAGUAUAGGAAUCCAUUCAUAUGAACCAAGUGGCUCUAAAGCUAUAGAAAUGAUAUCAUGUUUAUUUCCUUUGAAAUGUGGAGUAUAUGAAUCUAUUCCUAUUAACCAAUUGGCUCUAAAGGAAAAAAUCCUAUAAAAAUCAUAUCAUAUAGAGUUCCUAUGAUAUUCCUCGACACUAAAGGAUGCUUGAAAUUGCUGCGGGUGAUACGAUGGUCUUUCUUUGUAGAAUCCUCACCCAUCUUUAUAGUUACCUCUCGAAGAUGAAUGAAAUGAUAUAUACAUGGUAUUCUACAUGUGCAAUUUGGUACACGAAAACUCGGUAAAAGUUUGCGAGGUUCGAAUUUUCAAUAAAGCUAUAUGCACUGCAUUUCGGAACGGACGGAGCAUACGGCAGUUGCUAACACUCACGUGGGAGAUUUGUGUGUAGGAGGAGUGGCUGUCCUGUUAAAUGACAUGGCAAAACUGACACUGUCGGAUGCCGAUCUAACGGUUCUUACGGCGUUCGUCAGGAAAAGGCUUGUGGCGAGCGUUUGUCGGAUAAUGAUUUACGGACACAUGCAUUGCAUUGAUACGUGCCCCCCUCUCUCUCACGCACACGCACCCUCACGAGUCACGACUCUCCCAAGUCCUCUCGCAGACUCGCACGUCGCACCCACCGUCUAUCUGCAGGUAGACGUCACGCACAUAUGUUCUCUUCACACCCUACCCUCAGAACUUCUAAAAAACAAAAGACGGCGCGCACAUUUUAUUUUAGCUCACACGUCACACACUUAUACUAUUACUCUUGCGGCGAACGUUCUUUGGGCAUAGUAUAUUGUACUCUCACGAAGAGAAGCGGUGCACGCACGCACUAGUUCUCUCACACCCACUCGCGGGUACACGUAGGAGCGCAUUUUUUUGAAGCUGGUACAACAAAAUCACUCCACUAUAUAUAAAAGCAGGAGCCUUAGCGCUUGCUUUACUAGGGUUCCUCUCGUUCACUCUCUCAUGCUCUCCAGAUCUAAGCAACACAUAGGUGGCCACACUCUCUCUUAGCUCACGGCUGGUCACAAAUCCGGCCGGACAACCUCGAUCGGGGCAGGGGUGUAGGUGCAUCGUUCAUGCUGUCAUCGGCGGCGAGGGAGGAGACCAACGGCUGCCCGCGCGUCCCGAUCGGCGGUCGUGCCGUUCUCUCCGAGAGAGCGCCGGCUCAGGAGGGCCUCCGACCCCUUCUUCCUCCCUGCGGUAUUGUGGCCAAGAUGCGGCCUCCCGACGCCGUCUUUGCCACAUGCCGACGACCCUCAGGUAUAUAUUCCUUCGAAACCUGCCUUGCUCUACUGCCCCAGCUCCCUUCGUGUGGAUCCUUUUCUACUUCCGUCCGCUGUUCCAAAGCCACCUAGACUUCUACUAUUAUUAGAAGUAAAGCUAGUUCAUACAGUCAACUCAAAGCGUUGGUUCAAACAGGGAAGAAAGUGGGAAAGUUGUAGCAUGAAUCUAGGACUUGGUUCUAAGAGGAAGGGGGAAAGUAGUAAUAUCUGUCACUGUUUAAAUAACCGUAUUUCGUAUUUGCGCAAACAGGGAUGUCUUUCUCCAUAUCGUUUCGGGAUGUCUGUCUCUGUAUCGUUUCUAUCCGCGCAAUCAAAAGCACACACCUCAGUUUUAGUACAACUGCGCAAAAUGAGAUGGCUAUCCCUCGUUGCCGUCGUCUAACCUCCCGUCUUCAAGGUAUCCCUACAUUGGUAGUAACUAAGGUAGAAUGACCAACGUAAUCUAAAAGAAGCUGAUUCGUACGUUUUACUUCCUGAUUGCAGUGCAGGGACGAGCGAAAACAACUGCAUCCUAGUCCGGAAUGCACUUUCUACCAGUUCAUCCAUGGACCGAGGACUAGCUGGCACGGCUGCACGGCAGUUUUUUGGACAGGUGCGCGGACAAGAGGCAUUGUGCUCUGCUUAUUUCUGCAAAUAGCGGUGCUUAAAUUUAGUGGAAUGCACAAGCAUUUCAGCUGGUCAGUACACUGCAUGGUUCAGUUCAGCAUUCCAGCUGAGACCACAAUUAUAAUUGGUUAUUCUGGAAUGAGAGAACCUAACCCUGGAUGGUGGCAACAAGAAAAAACCAGAGUGAACUCCAGGAAAUUUAAGCCUGCCGGGAGGCCCUUUGCUCAGAGAAGCCUUGCUUGUUUUUUCCUGAUUUGUAAACCUUCUCACAACUUUGUCUUUUGUUGUGAACUAGUAUAUGUUUGUUAUGUUCUAUGAAUCAUUGAGAUGUAUAAAAUUGCUUAACUUAUGCUUUUCAAGUUUUUUAUGAAGACGAGUUUAAUGUGAGUUGUUCCACAUGAGCGCUGGACUAGCGUGUGAACGUUUGGAAUUUAUUACAUUGUGGCCUCAAUUAACUGCAUGAACCACUGUAACAAGAUACAUAGUUGCUUAUAUGUCAGACAGCAGAUUGUUGAUUGUUAGCUGGUCGAUAGCCUAGUGUUGACGCGAGCUGAGCCAAUGUGCCGUGUUUUGCACAACUGCUUACAAGUGGGGUAGCACCAACAGUGUUUACAAGUACUUAUGUAUACGUCGGCGCACGGUUCUCGAACGAGUGCUCUAUUUCAUCAAAACACACACUGCUCGUAUGAUAAACCGUGACAACUUAUGUCUUACCAUGCCAUAUUCAUGAAAAAACUAGUGAGGACGCAUCUGUUUCGGCAACAAUUACGAUGGUUCUCACAUGAUUCACGGGCACACAAAAGUAGCAGCAGUUCCCAUAGACGGAUUCAAACAGAGUACUAGCCCCAGAGGGGUCGAUAACAGGCAAGGUUCGGAUAAUUAGACACAAUCCAAACUACUAUUAAACACUAGCUGGGGCAACUAUUUCAUGCCUCGAUCUAAUUUGGGCUGGACACAAGACGGACCUUGCCAUGAACAUCAUCGAGGACGUCCCGCAGCAGCUCAAUCCUGUGAACCUUCAUGAAGACAACCUUGUGGCCUUGCCACUGAUAAACUUGUUUGUGGAGGCAUGCCACGUCAUCUUCCUGCGUAAGCUUGACAAGAACAGUAUGCCUCACAAACGAAGGAGUAGCUUUGAACUUCUUGUGCUUCAGUACACCCUGGACAACACGCCUGACAAUAGUGAGGCUGGAAUACAACUCUUCAUUGGUAUAACCGCAAAUGGCUUCCAGGAUCCAACAGCCUAAGAACUAUGUUUUCCUAGUGCGUAUAUUCAGGUCGUCCGCCUCAUAGCGAGUGACAUGUACAACCACACAAUCCUUGUCUGCAUCAGGGCUCUAAUUGAAACAGAAACAAAUUCUGAAUUACUUUUCAGUAUAAGAAACAUAAGUUAUUUAAACCACUAUGUAUAGCAUGGCAUCGAAGCUAAUAAAAUUUUGCAUUAUUAAUCACCACAUACUUCCUUUUCUAUAAAAAAUCACCACAUACUUCCUUUUCUAAAAAAAUCACCAUAAUCGAGAUCGGCAAAGAAGGAAAUCACCUUGGGCAGCUCACCGGGGGGACACAUCCUCGAAGGGGGAAAACUGCUCCUGCAGUGCCACGGGAGUUGUAACCUCAAACAGGGCGUUGACCAUCUCAGUAGUGGCCGUGAGCGUAUCUGGUGUCGGCUCGGUGGUUGCCUCCAUCUUCUUGGAGCUCUCUGUCUCGUGGGGAUCAGCCUCCCGCGUCUGCUCCAAUAUCGGCAGAUCUUUGUCUGGUUCUCCUUGGUCCAUCAUGAAACUGACGAAUACUAGGAGACCACUGAAAGGAAAACACAAUCGCAAUGACAAUGAAACAAAAAAGAGAGUGAGGAUCGGUUACUGCUUUGCAAAAGUUCUUUUUUUUCUGAACGAAAAUAUACCAACAUCACAGAUCCGCUUACCUUCCCUUCGUUCGGAGAGAAGAACAGUGGCAGAUGCGAGUGUUGCCUUUCUUGAAGACGGUGAGGGAGAAGGGGAUUCAGCAAAGAGUGAAAUGAUGGUUGCUUCGUCCGUCAAACUUAGACUGCGGGGAGGUGGGGUUUUGUGAUACGACGGCUCGUUACUGCCGUGCUACGACCGGGGUGACUCUCCGCCUGCAUACUGCCUUCUAAUUUGGUGGAUGGCAUUUGGGCCCGCGCGCUGCAUUGCCCGCAUGUCGGUGAAUAAAAGUAUAACGGCAUUCAGUAGAGGGAGACGUUUCAAUGACCUAGGAGGAGCCAGAAGCGAUAGAGUGUCUCCACUGUACUAGUAGUAAUUGUUUUUCUGGGUACCUGUAGAGUGUCUCCACUGUACUAGUAGUAAUUGUUUCUCUGGGCCCAAGACAAAACAGCCCAUCCACACUAGUAAAUAGUAUAAUCAAUUCAAAAGCCCAUAUAUUUACUGAAUGAGAGGCGCUACCCNNNNNNNNNNNNNNNNNNNNNNNNNNNNNNNNNNNNNNNNNNNNNNNNNNNNNNNNNNNNNNNNNNNNNNNNNNNNNNNNNNNNNNNNNNNNNNNNNNNNNNNNNNNNNNNNNNNNNNNNNNNNNNNNNNNNNNNNNNNNNNNNNNNNNNNNNNNNNNUUCCUCCUCGCUCCCACCCACCUCACGUCAGCUCGCUCCACUCAUACCCCCAAAUUCCUCACCUCACUCCUACAGAAAACCCCAGUUCCCCUUCUUCCUCACUCCUACAGAAAACCCCCAGCUCCCCUUCUUCUUCGCUCGCACUACAACUAGGCUCGUCUUUCGUUACUCUGCUCAAAUCCGUGAGCGCGACGCGACGCCCUCGAGGAAAAUGGAGUCGGCUGACCCCAGCGUCAAGAAGAUGAGGCUCCCGCCAGCGGCGACGCCUGUUGUAGAUCCCGCACCCGGCAGCGCGGGGAGAAGUGGCGACCCCGCCCCCACCGGAUCCCAGGAACCCGUAGAAUCUUGGGUGGACCGCAUCAGCGAUCUCCCGGACGCCGUCCUUGGGGAGAUCAUCUCGCUUCUCCCCACCAAGGAUUGCUGCCGCACCCAAGUACUCUCAAUUCGGUGGCGCCCUCUAUGGCGCGCCGUGCCCCUUAAUCUCGACUGUCGUCAGCUAUCUCUCUUCAAUGAUUUUGAAAUCCCCAGAGCCAUCAUCUCCUCCCACCAGGGCUCCGUUCAAAGCCUCUACAUCCCGUCAUGCUACCUGAGCAAGCAUACCAUGCCCUACAUGGUGGACACCUGGCUGAAAUCCCCUGAAUUCAUAGAACUACCGCUGCUUGAGUUCUACUAUUCCCCUGGAAAUCACAUACCACAUACUGAACUCCAUGAACUUGUGCCCUCAGCACCGAUGUCCAUCUCGCGGUUUUCGUCCUCUCUCCACACCGCCACCUUUGCGCUGUGCUACCUACCAGACAAUCUGGUACUAAACCUUCGACUCCCAUUUCUCAAGAAACUUUCACUUGUGCGGGUUCGUAUAUCAGAGGCCUCAUUGCACAGCAUCAUCCACUCCAGUUGCCCUGCGCUGGAGUGCUUGGUGCUUGUUUUCACAGUUAGAAUCGGUUGUCUCCAAAUAAAGUCGCCUAACCUUGUAAGAAUUGGAAUUUCUUUUGACGGAAGGCAGCUCAUCAUCCAAAUAACCGUCCUCUCUGCGCCUAAACUGGAGACCUUGGGUGUAAUACAUGAUCUCUGUGCUCAUUUCAAUAUGGUGUUUGGCUCCACAGUUCUUCAGGUACUUUAUAUUAUCAUAUACACUUGUAACCAUAAGCUGCAUUUUAAAUUUUUGCGCAUAAUUUAUAUAUCAUCUUGGAGUACACAUUUUGUACUAAUAUUAUGUUCUAUGCUCAAUGAAGAGUUUCUCCAUGGAUGGCCUAUCAAUGGUGCUGGAUUCUGUCAAGAUCUUAUAUAUCCAAAUGAACAGUUUUGAUCUGAACAAGAUUAUUGGCUUGCUGCAAUGCUUUCCAUGUCUGGAGAAGUUGUAUAUAAAGGUGAUAAUUUCACGCACAUUGGAAGCCCGCAUAUAGUGUACUAGAAUUAACCGUUCAGCUGUUGCUCUUUCGACACUCUUCUUUUAGACCUUAACUAUUUUCAAUCUUCAUGUCUAUUUAGGCAACAGGACGGGGUAAGAAAUUUAUAACCAAUCGGUGGAUUCGUAAGCAUCGGGAUUUUCUCACUUCUCAUGAGAUUCGAUUGAAGACAAUAACGCUAGAACGAUAUGUAGCCAACCGUGCAAACACAAGAUUUGUCACAUUCUUCCUGCUGAAUGCGAGGUUACUAUUGUCCAUCAGCCUUAAGUUUAUCAGCAGCAUGGUUUUGACAGAUGGGUAUGUCGAAGAGCAAAAAAAGGAGUUUCAGGUGGGCAAAAGAGCUUCUAAAUGUGUCGGGCUUCUAUUUACAACAUAUUGUGGUCAUAAUCCAGUAAAUAUUACGACCCAGGAUGUUCAUUCUAUGGACAUGACUGAUCCAUUUGACUAUGACUGCCGAAAACAGUGCUGGAGUUAGAUGUUGUUGCCCUUUUCAAUCUGGUUUUUUUGUAAACCUGAUGAACAAUUAACCCUCGUGCUUUUGUACAGUUUGUAAGCUGGAGUUAGAUGUUCCUGCCCUUUUCAACUCGGCUGUGACUGUCAUAUUUUCUUUGAAACAAGGCAAAUGGCUUGCCAUUCAUUUAAUUUAGAGUGAAAUAUUGUAACAAAUCCCAACCAAGGGAAAUAACAUCACUCUCGCCGGCUGCUUGAGCUCACUGUGCAUUACAGAAGCCAAGUGAUUAGCCCCCACCAGCACCCACAAACUUAUUUUGAGCUAGCACAUCAAAUGGGCUAUAAAUUUUCAUAGGAAAGGCUGCAUGACCGUGACAGAUUUGGAUUCUGACAUUUGGGACCCGCGAGGAAAUAGCCUAUCCAAGGUGGUGUCGACUUACUAGCCAGUCAACAAACAAUUCUGCCUACCAGCCGUUGGAUUGACAUCCAACAUCUGUCGUGUAUCUUCUAUAUCUCUUGUCUUCUUCUCCCUCCAGCCGCCCAAACCAAACCACCCCGUCGGCUCCGCCUGCUCCCGCCUCCCAUGGCUGGCUGCGCCUCCACCACCCUACCGUACGUACCUUCCAACGUUGGCCAAUCCCUCCCUCUAUUCCCCCACACGUCCUGUUAUUCUCCGGCGACGUCAGCCCCAACACGCACCCGCGCCCGAACCAGUCAACCCUCGUACUCCCCUCCGCCUGCGACUAGACCGGCGCAUCUUCAACGGCUCCUGUUCGUUCCAUCCGAGGCCUCGCCGUCGUCCUCCGCCUUGCAGCCUUGGUUCGCUCGCCGUGCGCGGUGCGCCGCCCUCUUGCGUUGUCAACGUCGUCAACAACCGAGAGGAACAAGGAGAUGACUGUACGUGGAGAGGAUGACAGUAGGGACCCACCAGCGUCAUGGCAGUACGCAAGCAAGUGCCUCUAUAGUACAAGCCCAAAAAUAUGGUUCCUCCUAAUGGUUGGACAUCUGGGGCUCACGCCAUUNNNNNNNNNNNNNNNNNNNNNNNNNNNNNNNNNNNNNNNNNNNNNNNNNNNNNNNNNNNNNNNNNNNNNNNNNNNNNNNNNNNNNNNNNNNNNNNNNNNNNNNNNNNNNNNNNNNNNNNNNNNNNNNNNNNNNNNNNNNNNNNNNNNNNNNNNNNNNNNNNNNNNNNNNNNNNNNNNNNNNNNNNNNNNNNNNNNNNNNNNNNNNNNNNNNNNNNNNNNNNNNNNNNNNNNNNNNNNNNNNNNNNNNNNNNNNNNNNNNNNNNNNNNNNNNNNNNNNNNNNNNNNNNNNNNNNNNNNNNNNNNNNNNNNNNNNNNNNNNNNNNNNNNNNNNNNNNNNNNNNNNNNNNNNNNNNNNNNNNNNNNNNNNNNNNNNNNNNNNNNNNNNNNNNNNUGACUGUACGUGGAGAGGAUGACAGUAGGGACCCACCAGCGUCAUGGCAGUACGCAAGCAAGUGCCUCUAUAGUACAAGCCCAAAAAUAUGGUUCCUCCUAAUGGUUGGACAUCUGGGGCUCACGCUAGUGUCAACGUAGUCAAUAAACGAGAGAAUUACACUACGAGCGGCUCACACCAGGGACCCAGCAAGUCGCGCAGUUUUUUUUUUUUUUUGAGGAACAAGCAGUUGUUAUUUAUACUAGUUUUAGCGACGGAUCAGGGUAACAACGGGGUUGUGCGGGGGCUGUGGCCCGUCUAGCCAGGGUUUUAUUUAUGUUUACCACAUCAUGAGCCCAGUUGUGUUUUUUUCUUGCUGAAAAUGGCUAGCCCAGUUCUAUUUUUUUUUUAAGAAAUACCCAAACAAGGCCUACUUGCUUUAUCGGCCCUGCUGGGCUGCAAAUCUUUCAAGACGAGGAGAGUUUCAUUCGGUUUGCCCAGAAAUUCGCUGUACAUUUUUAAAACACAUCAAACCGGGAAUUAGUUUCAAUUUUUUUUUCAUUACAAGAUCUUAAAUUCCAUUGAUUUUUAUGCGUGGACAAUUAUUUGGAUUUUAUAUUUAUAUAAAUUAUUUUCAAAAUAGUUUGAAUGUGAAACGAUAUUUCUGGAUUAAAAACAGUUGACCGCACCGAAAUAUGCAAAAUUUCGUAUACUUUUUAACCGUGGCCACAAUAUGGGGUGUAAUGCUAACAAAAAGAAGAUGGGCUCCAAAAAAAUUCUUAAGAAUUAGCAAAUGGGUUGUACAUUAUUAGAAAUAAUGGCAGAUGGGUUGUAUGCUGUUUUCCACAGAUUUGAGGCUGACUUGUGCGCCUACUACAGGUUGACGCGUAUGCUUUCAUAAAAAAAAGGUUGACGCACACGCAACGCCCUGACAGCUUAGUCAACACACGAGAGCAGUGACUGUUGGAUGUCCAUCCAACGGCUGUCGUGCUUCUUCAAUCUCUGCUCUUCAUGCUCCAGCCGCUCAAACAAGCGCCGACGGGACUGCCUGCUCCCUCCUCCCGCGGCCGGCUAUGCUGCCGCGCAGGCCUCACGGCCCCACCGUACUCCCAUCGCUGGCCUAGCCAUCCCUCUACUCACCCACACAUGAUGUUAUUCUCCAGCGACGGCAAACGAACCAGUAAACCCUCGUACUCCUCCGCAUGGGAAACAACUGCCGAGUAUUCCCUGGCUCUAUGUCGUUCCCUUCCUAGGCCUCGCCGUCGUCCACCGCCCUGGUGCUCUCGGCGCGGACUGUUCAACGUGGUCAAUGAACGACAUCCAUCGGAAGUGGACUGUACGUGGAGAGGCUGACAGCUGGGUCCAUGGCCGCACGCAAGGAAAUGCCUCCUUAUUACGCGUAAAAUAAUGAUUCCUCCACCUGACAGCUAGGACCCACGGGAAGGGCCUCUGUAUUUCGCGAAAAAAACGUUCCCCCCGCUGACAGGUCGGACCCACCAGCUAUAUCUUCGCACGCAAGGAAGUGCCUCCUUAUUACGCCCAAAAAAAUGAAUACCCCCCUGCUAGCUGGGACCCACCAUAUUGUUGGGCUAACUUGUGGGCCUACUAAGUUGACGGGGGCGGAGGGCUUUGUCAACUUAGUCAAUACUCCAGUGAUCGUAUGAUGUCCAUCCAACGGCCAUAGUGCUUCUUCAACCUCUGGUCUUCUUGCUCCAGCCGCCCAAAGCAGCGCCGGUCGUGCCGCCUACUCCUGCCUCCCGUGGCCGGCUCUGCUACCGCGGAGGCCUCACCACCCCCAUACUAAUCCCACCACUGGCCAGGCCAUCCCUCCACUCACCCACACCCCCUGUUAUUCUGCGGCGACGGCAGCCUCACACCGCAGCCGAACCAGUGAACGCUCGUACUCCUCUCCGCGUGGGCAUCCACUGCCGCGUCUUGCUCGGCUCCGCGUUGUCCCCUUCCUAGGCCUCGCCGUCGUCCCCUUCCUAGGCCUCGCCGUCGUCCACCGCCGUGGUGCUCUCGGCGCGGCGUGGUCAAUGUGGUCAAUGACCGACUUCCAUCGGAAGAGUACUGUACGUGGAGAGGCCGACAGCUGGGUCCACGGCAACCGCAAGGAAGUGCCUCCUUAUUACGCGGAAAAUAAUUAUUCCUCCACCUGACAGCGGGGACCCACCGGAUGGGCCACCAGUAUUUUGUGAAAAAAAUCGUUUCCCCCUGACUGCUGGGACCCACCGGACAGGCCACCGUAUUUCGCAAAAAAAACGUUCCCCCCGCUGUCAGCUCGGACCCACUGGAAGUGCCUCCUUAUUACGCACAAAAAAACGAAUAGUCCCCCAGCUAGCUGGGACCCACCUUGGUGGGAGCCUGGCUUGUGGGCCGACUAAGUUGACGGGGACGAAGGGCUUUGUCAACUUAGUCAAUAUGAACGAUUCUAGCUCCAGUGACCGUACGAUGUCCAUCCAAUGGCCGUAGUGCUUCUUCAUCCUCUGGUCUUCUUGCUCCAGCCGCCCAAAGUAGCACCGGUCGUGCCGCAUGCUCCUGCCUCCCGUGGCCGGCUAUGCUGCCGCAGAGGCCUCACUGCCCCCUACUAUUCCCACCGCUGGCCAGGACCUGCGGUGACGGCAGCCUCACACCGCAGCCGAACCAGUGAACCCUCGUACUCCUCUCCGCGCGGGCUUCCACUGCCACGUCUUCCCCGGCUCCGCGUCGUCCCCUUCCUAGGCCUCGCCGUCGUCCACCACCGUGGUGCUCUCCGCGCGGCGUGGUCAACGUGGUCAAGGAACGACUUUCAUCGGAAGAGUACUAUACGUGGAGAGGCUGACAGCUGGGUCCACGGCCACAGCCCAGUUUUUUUGUGAUUUGCCAAGUAAGUCGCUUUGUCAGGCCUGUUGGGCUGCAAAUCUUUCAAGACGAGGAGAGCUUUCAUUCGGCUGGCCGAGAAAAUGGCCCAUCAGUAAUAAGAAAUGGGCUGUACAUUUUUAAAACACAUCAAACCGGCAAUUAGUUUCAAAUAUCUUUUUUUCAUUUCAAGAUUUUAAAUUACAUUAAUUUUUAUGCGUGGAGAAUUUGUUGGAUUUUAUAUUGAUAUACAUUUAUUUUUAAAAUCAGUUUGAAUGUGAGUCGAAAUUUCGGGAUUAAAAACAGUUCGGACCGCACCAAAAUAUGCAAAAUUUUGUAUAAUUUUUUAACCGUGGCCACAAUAUGGGCUGUAAUGCUAACAAAAAGAAUAUGGGCUCCAAAAAAACCUUAAGAAUUAGCAAAUGGGCUGUAAAUUAUUAGAAAUAAUGGCAGAUGGGCUGUAUGCUGUUUUCCACAGAUUUGAGGCUUUCCAAAAAAAAGGUUGACGCACAAGCACUGACUGUUGGAUGUCCAUCCAACGGCCGUUGUGCUUCUUCAAUCUCUGCUCUUCCUGCUCCAGCCGCUCAAACAAGCGCCGGCGGGACUGCCUGCUCCCUCCUCCCCGCGGCCGGCUGUGCUGCCGCGCAGGCCUCACCACCCCACCGUACUCCCAUCGCUGGCCUAGUCAUCCCUCUACUCACCCACACCUGCUGUUAUUCUCCGGCGACGGCAGACGAACCAGUAAACCCUCCUACAGUCGUACUCCCCUCCGCGUGGGAAACAACUGCCGAGUCUUCCCUGCCUCUGUGUCGUCCCCUUCCUAGGCCUCGCCGUCGUCCACCGCCGUGGUGCUCUCGGCGUGGCGUGGUCAAUGUGGUCAACGACCGACUUCCAUCGGAAGAGUACUAUGCGUGGAGGCGCUGACAGCUGGGUCCACGGCCGCAGCAAGGAAGUGCCUCCUUAUUACGCGCAAAAUAAUUAUUCCUCCACCUGACAGCGGGGACCCACCGGACAGGCCAUCGUAUUUUGCAAAAAAAACGUUUCCCCCCUGACUGCUGGGACCCACCAGCUACACCUUCGCACGCAAGGAAGUGCGUCCGGGCAAAAAAACAAAACGAUUCGCCCCCCUGACUGCUGGGACCCACCAGCUACAUCUUCGCACGCAAGGAAGUGCCUGACAGUCGAGACACACCUGGUCGAAGCGUACGUAGCGUUGUCAUUCUGGUCGCGAACGUGUACGUACAUAUAUACUGGUGGAUGAAGAGGCGCACGCGUGUCGAAGUAGAGGCACGCACGUAGCAUGUACACGUACAUACAGCGGCCAGGGUGAGUGGGUGCUCCGUAGCAUUUCUGAUAUUAUAUGUGGAUGACAUAUUACUGACUAGAAAUGAUAUAGAAUUUCUGGACAGCAUAAAAGGAGAUUUGAAUAAAAGUUUUUCAAUGAAAGACCGCAGUGAAGAUGCUUACAUAUUAGGCAUUAAGAUCUAUAGAGAUAGAUCAAGACGCUUGAUAGGACUUUCACAAAGCACAUACCUUGACAAAGUUUUGAAAAAGUUCAAAAUGGAUCAAGCAAAGAAAGGGUUCUUGCCUAUGUUACAAGGUGUGAAGUUGAGUCAGACUCAAUGCCCGACCACUGCAGAAGAUAGAGAGAAAAUGAAACAUGUUCCCUAUGCUUCAGCCAUAGGCUCUAUCAUGUAUGCAAUGUUGUGUACCAGACCUAAUGUGUGUCUUGCUAUUAGCCUAGGAGGGAGGUACCAAAGUAAUCCAGGAGUGGAUCACUGGAUAGCGGUCAAGAACAUCUUGAAAUACCUGAAAGGACUAAGGAUAUGUUUCUCGUUUAUGGAGGUGACGAAGAGCUAGUCGUAAAUGGUUACGUCGAUGCAAGCUUUGACACUGAUCCAGACGAUUCUAAAUCGCAAACCGGAUACAUGUUUACAUUGAACGGUGGAGCUGUCAGUUGGUGCAGUUGUAAACAAAGCGUUGUGGCGGGAUCUACGUGUGAAGCGGGGUACAUAGCUGCUUCAGAAGCAGCAAAUGAAGGAGUCUGGAUGAAGGAGUUCAUAUCCGAUCUAGGUGUCAUACCUAGUGCAUCGGGUCCAAUGAAAAUCUUUUGUGACAAUACUGGUGCAAUUGCCUUGGCAAAGGAAUCCAGAUUUCACAAGAGGACCAAGCACAUCAAGAGACGCUUCAAUUCCAUCCGGGACCAAGUCCAGGUGGGAGACAUAGAGAUUUGCAAGAUACAUACGGAUCUGAAUGUUGCAGACCCGUUGACUAAGCCUCUUCCACGAGCAAAACAUGAUCAGCACCAAGGCUCCAUGGGUGUUAGAAUCAUUACUGUGUAAUCUAGAUUAUUGACUCUAGUGCAAGUGGGAGACUGAAGCAAAUAUGCCCUAGAGGCAAUAAUAAAGUUAUUAUUUAUUUCCUCAUAUCAUGAUAAAUGUGUAUUAUUCAUGCUAGAAUUGUAUUAACCGGAAACAUAAUACAUGUGUGAAUACAUAGACAAACAUAGUGUCACUAGUAUACCUCUACUUGACUAGCUCGUUAAUCAAAGAUGGUUAAGUUUCCUAGCCAUGGACAUGAGUUGUCAUUUGAUUAACGGGAUCACAUUAUUAGGAGAAUAAUGUGAUUGAGUUGACCGUUUAGUAUGUUGCUAUUGCUUUCUUCAUGACUUAUAUAUGUUCCUAUGACUAUGAGAUUAUGCAACUCCCGUUUACCGGAGGAACACUUUGUGUGCUACCAAACGUCACAACGUAACUGGGAGAUUAUAAAGGUGCUCUACAGGUGUCUCUGGAGGUACUUGUUGGGUUGGCGUAUUUCGAGAUUAGGAUUUGUCACUCCGAUUGUCGGAGAGGUAUCUCUGGUCCCUCUUGGUAAUGCACAUCACUAUAAGCCUUGCAAGCAUUGUGACUAAUGAGUUAGUUGCGAGAUGAUGUAUUACGGAACGAGUAAAGAGACUUGCCGGUAACGAGAUUGAACUAGGUAUUGAGAUACCGACGAUCGAAUCUCAGGCAAGUAACAUACCGGUGACAAAGGGAACAACGUAUGUUGUUAUGCGGUUUGACCGACAAAGAUCUUCGUAGAAUAUGUAGGAGCCAAUAUGAGCAUCCAGGUUCCGCUAUUGGUUAUUGACCGGAGACGUGUCUCGGUCAUGUCUACAUAGUUCUCGAACCCGUAGGGUCUGCACGCUUAAAGUUAGAUGACGAUUGGUAUUAUGAGUUUUGUGUUUUGAUGUACCGGAGGUAGUUUGGAGUCCCGGAUAUGAUCACGGACAUGACGAGGAGUCUCGAAAUGGUCGAGACAUAAAGAUCGAUAUAUUGGAUGACUAUGUUCGGACACCGGAAUGGUUUCGGGGAGUAUCGAAUAUAUACCGGAGUACCGGGGGAUUACCGGUACCCCCCGGGGAGACUAAUGGGCCUAUUGGGCCCUAGGAGAAGAGGAGGGGCGGCCAAGUGUAGCCGUGCGCCCCCUUCCUCCCCAGUCCGAAUUGGACAAGGAGGGGGGCGGCGCCCCCCUUUCCUUUCCCCCUCUCCUCUCCUAGUCCCACUUGGAAGGGGGGGUCCUACUCCCGAUGGGAGUAGGACUCCUCAUGGGGCGCGCCUAGGGAGGCCGGCCCCCUCCCCCUCCUCCACUCCUUUAUAUACACGGAGGGGGCACCCCUUGGAGACACAGCAAUUGAUCUCUUGAUCUCUUAGCCGUGUGUGGUGCCCCCUCCACCAUAUUCCACCUCGAUCAUAUCAUAGCGGUAGCAUCAUCAUCACCGUCACCACGCCGUCGUGCUGACGGAACACUUCCUCAAAGCUCGGCUGGAUCGGAGUUCGAGGGACAUCAUCGAGCUGAACGUGUGCUGAACUCGGAGGUGCCGUAUGUUCGGUACUCUGAUCGGUCGGAUCAUGAAGACGUACGAAUACAUCAACCGCGUUGUGCUAACGCUUCCGCUUUCGAUCUACGAGGGUACGUGGACACACUCUCCCCUCUCGUUGCUAUGCAUCACCAUGAUCCUGUGUGUGCGUAGGAAAUUUUUUGAAAUUACUACGUUCCCCAACAGUGGCAUCCGAGCCUGGUUUUAUGCGUAGAUGUUAUAUGCACGAGUAGAACACAAGUGAGUUGUGGGCGAUACAAGUCGUACUGCUUACCAGGAUGUCAUACUUUGGUUUGGCGGUAUUGUAGGAUGAAGCGGCCCGGACCGACAUUAUGCGUACGCUUACACGAGACUGGUUCUACCGACGUGCUUUGCACACAGGUGGCUGGCGGGUGUCAAUUUCUCCAACUUUAGUUGAACCGAGAGUGGCUACGUCCGGUCCAUGAGAAGGUUAAAACAGCACUAACUUGAUGAACUAUCGUUGUGGUUUCUAUGCGUAGGUAAGAACGGUUCUUGCUCAGCCCGUAGCAACCACGUAAAACUUGCAACAACAAAGUAGAGGGCGUCUAACUUGUUUUUGCAGGGCAUGUUGUGAUGUGAUAUGGUCAAGGCAUGAUGCUAUAUUUUAUUGUAUGAGAUGAUCAUGUUUCGUAACCGAGUUAUCGGCAACUGGCAGGAGCCAUAUGGUUGUCGCUUUAUUGUAUGCAAUGCAAUCGCCCUGUAAUGCUUUACUUUAUCACUAAGCGGUAGCGAUAGUCGUAGAAGCAAUAGUUGGCGAGACGACAACGAUGCUACGAUGGAGAUCAAGGUGUCGCGCCGGUGACGAUGGUGAUCAUAACGGUGCUUCGGAGAUGGAGAUCACAAGCACAAGAUGAUGAUGGCCAUAUCAUAUCACUUAUAUUGAUUGCAUGUGAUGUUUAUCCUUUAUGCAUCUUAUUUUGCUUUGAUUGACGGUAGCAUUAUAAGAUGAUCUCUCACUAAAUUUCAAGAUAAAAGUGUUCCCCCUGAGUAUGCACCGUUGCCAAAGUUCGUCGUGCCGAGACACCACGUGAUGAUCGGGUGUGAUAAGCUCUACGUUCAUCUACAACGGGUGCAAGCCAGUUUUGCACACGCGGAAUACUCAGGUUAAACUUUACGAGCCUAGCAUAUGCAGAUAUGGCCUGGAACACUUAGACCAAAAGGUCGAGCGUGAAUCAUAUAGUAGAUAUGAUCAACAUAGUGAUGUUCACCAUUGAAAACCACUCCAUCUCACGUGAUGAUCGGACAUGGUUUAGUUGAUUUGGAUCACGUGAUCACUUAGCUGAUUAGAGGGAUGUCUAUCUAAGUGGGAGUUCUUAAAUAAUAUGAUUAAUUGAACUUAAAUUUAUCAUGAACUUAGUACCUGAUAGUAUUUUGCUUGUCUAUGUUGUUGUAGAUAGAUGGCCCGUGCUGUUGUUCCGUUGAAUUUUAAUGCGUUCCUUGAGAAAGCAAAGUUGAAAGAUGAUGGUCGCAAUUACACGGACUGGGUCCGUAACUUGAGGACUAUCCUCAUUGCUGCACAGAAGAAUUACGUCCUGGAAGCACAGCUGGGUGCCAGGCCUGCUGCAGAUGCAACUGAUGACGUUAAGAACGUCUGGCAGAGCAAAGAUGAUGACUACUCAAUAGUUCAGUGUGCCAUGCUUUACGGCUUAGAACCGGGACUUCAACGACGUUUUGAACGUCAUGGAGCAUAUGAGAUGUUCCAGGAGUUGAAGUUAAUAUUUCAAGCAAAUGCCCGGAUUGAGAGAUAUGAAGUCUCCAAUAAGUUCUACAGCUGCAAGAUGGAGGAGAAUAGUUCUGUCAGUGAACAUAUACUCAAAAUGUCUGGGUAUAACAAUCACUUGAUUCAACUGGGAGUUAAUCUUCCGGAUGAUAGUGUCAUUGACAGAAUUCUUCAAUCAGUGCCACCAAGCUACAAGAGCUUCGUGAUGAACUAUAAUAUGCAAGGGAUGGAUAAGACAAUUCCCAGGCUCUUCGCAAUGCUAAAGGUUCAGGAGAUAGAAAUCAAAAAGGAGCAUCAAGUGUUGAUGGUCAACAAGACCACUAGUUUCAAGAAAAAGGGCAAAGGGAAGAAGAAGGGGAACUUCAAGAAGAACAGCAAACAAGUUGCUGGUCAAGAGAAGAAACCCAAGUCUGGACCUAAGCCUGAGACUGAGUGCUUCUACUGCAAGCAUACUGGACACUGGAAGCGGAACUGCCCCAAGUAUUUGGCGGAUAAGAAGGAUGGCAAGGUGAACAAAGGUAUAUGUGAUAUACAUGUUAUUGAUGUGUACCUUACUAGAGCUCGCAGUAGCACCUGGGUAUUUGAUACUGGUUCUGUUGCUAAUAUUUGCAACUCGAAACAGGGACUACAGAUUAAGUGAAGACUGGCUAAGGACGAGGUGACGAUGCGCAUGGGAAAUGGUUCCAAAGUCGAUGUGAUCGCCGUCGGCACGCUACCUCUACAUCUACCUUCGGGAUUAGUUUUAGACCUGAAUAAUUGUUAUUUGGUGCCAGCGUUGAGCAUGAACAUUAUAUCUGGAUCUUGUUUGAUGUGAGACGGUUAUUCAUUUAAAUCUGAGAAUAAUGGUUGUUCUAUGAGUAAUAUCUUUUAUGGUCAUGCACCCUUGAAGAGUGGUCUAUUUUUGUUGAAUCUCGAUAGUAGUGAUACACAUAUUCAUAAUGUUGAAACCAAAAGAUGCAGAGUUGAUAAUGAUAGUGCAACUUAUUUGUGGCACUGCCGUUUGGGUCAUAUUGCUGUAAAGCGCAUGAAGAAACUCCAUACUGAUGGACUUUUGGAAUCACUUGAUUAUGAAUCACUUGGUACUUGCGAACCAUGCCUCAUGGGCAAGAUGACUAAAACGCCGUUCUCCGGAACUAUGGAGCGAGCAACUGAUUUUUUGGAGAUCAUACAUACUGAUGUAUGUGGUCCAAUGAAUGUUGAGGCUCGCGGCGGGUAUCGUUAUUUUCUCACCUUCACAGAUGAUUUGAGCAGAUAUGGGUAUAUCUACUUAAUGAAACAUAAGUCUAAAACAUUUGAAAAGUUCAAAGAAUUUCAGAGUGAAGUGGAAAAUCAUCGUAACAAGAAAAUAAAGUUUCUACGAUCUGAUCGUGGAGGAGAAUAUUUGAGUUACGAGUUUGGUCUACAUUUAAAACAAUGCGGAAUAGUUUCACAACUCACGCGACCCGGAACACCACAGCGUAAUGGUGUGUCCGAACGUCGUAAUCGUACUUUACUAGAUAUGGUGCGAUCUAUGAUGUCUCUUACUGAUUUACCGCUAUCGUUUUGGGGUUAUGCUUUAGAGACGGCUGAAUUCACGUUAAAUAGGGCACCAUCGAAAUCCGUUGAGACGACGCCUUAUGAACUGUGGUUUGGCAAGAAACCAAAGUUGUCGUUUCUUAAAGUUUGGGGCUGCGAUGUGAAAAAGCUUCAACCUGAUAAGCUCGAACCCAAAUCAGAGAAAUGUGUCUUCAUAGGAUACCCAAAGGAAACUGUUGGGUACACCUUCUAUCACAGAUCCGAAGGCAAGACAUUCGUUGCCAAGAAUGGAUCCUUUCUAGAGAAGGAGUUUCUCUCGAAAGAAGUGAGUGGGAGGAAAGUAGAACUUGAUGAGGUAACUGUACCUGCUCCCUUAUUGGAAAGUAGUUCAUCACAGAAACCAGUUCAUGUGACACCUACACCAAUUAGUGAGGAAGCUAAUGAUAUCGAUCAUGAAACUUCAGAUCAAGUUACUACUGAACUUCGUAGGUCAACCAGAGUAAGAUCCGCACCAGAGUGGUACGGUAAUCCUAUUCUGGAGGUCAUGUUACUUGACCAAGGUGAACCUACGAACUAUGAAGAAGCGUUGGUGAGCCCAGAUUCCGCAAAAUGGCUUGAGGCCAUGAAAUCUGAGAUGGGAUCCAUGUAUGAGAACAAAGUGUGGACUUUGGUUGACUUGCCCGAUGAUCGGCAAGCCAUUGAGAAUAAAUGGAUCUUCAAGAAGAAGACUGACGCUGACGGUAAUGUUACUGUCUAUAAAGCUCGACUUGUUGCAAAAGGUUUUCGACAAGUUCAAGGGAUUGACUAUGAUGAGACUUUCUCACCCGCAGCGAUGCUUAAGUCUGUCCGAAUCAUGUUAGCAAUUGCUGCAUUUUAUGAUUAUGACAUUUGGCAAAUGGAUGUCAAAACUGCAUUCCUGAAUGGAUUUCUGGAAGAAGAGUUGUAUAUGAUGCAACCAGAAGGUUUUGUCGAUCUAAAGGGAGCUAACAAAGUGUGCAAGCUCCAGCGAUCCAUUUAUGGACUGGUGCAAGCCUCUCGGAGUUGGAAUAAAUGUUUUGAUAGGGUGAUCAAAGCAUAUGGUUUUAUACAGACUUUUGGAGAAGCCUGUAUUUACAAGAAAGUGAGUGGGAGCUCUGUAGCAUUUCUGAUAUUAUAUGUGGAUGACAUAUUACUGAUUGGAAAUGAUAUAGAAUUUAUGGACAGCAUAAAAGGAGAUUUGAAGAAAAGUUUUUCAAUGAAAGACCUCGGUGAAGAUGCUUACAUAUUAGGCAUCAAGAUCUAUAGAGAUAGAUCAAGACACUUGAUAGGACUUUCACAAAGCACAUACCUUGACAAAGUUUUGAAAAAGUUCAAAAUGGAUCAAGCAAAGAAAGGGUUCUUGCCUGUGUUAGAAGGUGUGAAGUUGAGUCAGACUCAAUGCCCGACCACUGCAGAAGAUAGAGAGAAAAUGAAACAUGUUCCCUAUGCUUCAGCCAUAGGCUCUAUCAUGUAUGCAAUGUUGUGUACCAGACCUAAUGUGUGUCUUGCUAUUAGCCUAGGAGGGAGGUACCAAAGUAAUCCAGGAGUGGAUCACUGGACAGCGGUCAAGAACAUCCUGAAAUACCUGAAAGGACUAAGGAUAUGUUUCUGGUUUAUGGAGGUGACGAAGAGCUAGUCGUAAAUGGUUACGUCGAUGCAAGCUUUGACACUGAUCCGGACGAUUCUAAAUCGCAAACCGGAUACGUGUUUACAUUGAACGAUGGAGCUGUCAGUUGGUGCAGUUCUAAACAAAGCGUUGUGGCGGGAUCUACGUGUGAAGCGGAGUACAUAGCUGCUUUAGAAGCAGCAAAUGAAGGAGUCUGGAUGAAGGAGUUCAUAUCCGAUCUAGGUGUCAUACCUAGUGCAUCGGGUCCAAUGAAAAUCUUUUGUGACAAUACUGGUGCAAUUGCCUUGGCAAAGGAAUCCAGAUUUCACAAGAGGACCAAGCACAUCAAGAGACGCUUCAAUUCCAUCUGGGACCAAGUCCAGGUGGGAGACAUAGAGAUUUGCAAGAUACAUACGGAUCUGAAUGUUGCAGACCCGUUGACUAAGCCUCUUCCACGAGCAAAACAUGAUCAGCACCAAGGCUCCAUGGGUGUUACAAUCAUUAUUGUGUAAUCUAGAUUAUUGACUCUAGUCCAAGUGGGAGACUGAAGGAAAUAUGCCCUAGAGGCAAUAAUAAAGUUAUUAUUUAUUUCCUCAUAUCAUGAUAAAUGUUUAUUAUUCAUGCUAGAAUUGUAUUAACCGGAAACAUAAUACAUGUGUGAAUACAUAGACAAACAUAGUGUCACUAGUAUACCUCUACUUGACUAGCUCGUUAAUCGAAGAUGGUUAAGUUUCCUAGCCAUGGACAUGAGUUGUCAUUUGAUUAACGGGAUCACAUUAUUAGGAGAAUAAUGUGAUUGACUUGACCCAUUCCGUUAGCUUAGCACUUGAUCUUUUAGUAUGUUGCUAUUGCUUUCUUCAUGACUUGUACAUGUUCCUAUGACUAUGAGAUUAUGCAACUCCCGUUUAUCGGAGGAACACUUUGUGUGCUACCAAACGUCACAACGUAACUGGGUGAUUAUAAAGGUGCUCUACAGGUGUCUCCGAAGGUACUUGUUGGGUUGGCGUAUUUCGAGAUUAGGAUUUGUCACUCCGAUUGUCGGAGAGGUAUCUCGGGGCCUCUCGGUAAUGCACAUCACUAUAAGCCUUGCAAGCAUUGUGACUAAUGAGUUAGUUGCGAGAUGAUGUAUUACGAAACGAGUACAGAGACUUGCCGGUUAUGAGAUUGAACUAGGUAUUGAGAUACCGACGACCGAAUCUCGGGCAAGUAACAUACCGGUGACAAAGGGAACAACAUAUGUUGUUAUGCGGUUUGACCGAUAAAGAUCUUCGUAGAAUAUGUAGGAGCCAAUAUGAGCAUCCAGGUUCCGCUAUUGGUUAUUGACCGAAGACGUGUCUCGGUCAUGUCUACAUACUUCUCGAACCCGUAGGGUCCGCACGCUUAAACUUAGAUGACGAUCGGUAUUAUGAGUUUUGUGUUUUGAUGUACCGAAGGUAGGUCGGAGUCCCGGAUAUGAUCACGGACAUGACGAGGAGUCUCGAAAUGGUCGAGACAUAAAGAUCGAUAUAUUGGACGACUAUGUUCGGACACCAGAAUGGUUUCGGGGAGUAUCGAAUAUAUACCGGAGUACCGGGGGAUUACCGGAACCCCCCGGGGAGACUAAUGGGCCUAUUGGGCCCUAGUGGAGAAGAGGAGGGGCGGCCAAGGGCAGCCGCGCGCCCCCUUCCCCCCAGUCCGAAUUGGACAAGGAGGGGGGCGGCGCCCCCCUUUCCUUUCCCCCUCUCUCUCCUUCCCUCUCCUCUCCUACUCCCACUUGGAAGGGGGGGUCCUACUCCCGGUGGGAGUAGGACUCCUCAUGGGGCGCGCCUAGGGAGGCCGGCCCCCUCCCCCUCCUCCACUCCUUUAUAUACGGGGGAGGGGGCACCCCAUGGACACCCCUUGGAGACACAGCAAUUGAUCUCUUGAUCUCUUAGCCGUGUGCGGUGCCCCCCUCCACCAUAUUCCACCUCGAUCAUAUCGUAGCGGUGCUUAGGCGAAGCCCUGCGUCGGUAGCAUCAUCAUCACCGUCACCACGCCGUCGUGCUGACGGAACUCUCCCUCAAAGCUCGGCUGGAUCGGAGUUCGAGGGACGUCAUCGAGCUGAACGUGUGCUGAACUCGGAGGUGCCGUACGUUCGGUACUCGGAUCGGUCGGAUCUUGAAGAUGUACGACUACAUCAACCGCGUUGUGCUAAUGCUUCCGCUUUCGGUCUACGAGGGUACGUGGACACACUAUCCCCUCUCGUUGCUAUGCAUCACCAUGAUCCUGUGUGUGCCUAGGAAUUUUUUUGAAAUUACUACGUUCCCCAACAUCUUUACCUAUUGUCUAGGGUUUCAACAGUUCCAGCGUCAACUUUAAUGAUUAGCAGGAUCUAGUGGAACCUGCCACACGUUUAUAUAAGCCGGCAUGCAUAACACAUGAUGUUAAGAGACAGAUGCAUUUAUGACGGGGAAAACUCAGUUUUGCAAAGAGUCCAUGAUGUUAUGAGACAAAUGCAUUUAUGGAACACUCUCUUCCCCUUGAGUUUAAAUGGCUAACACUCAUGUUUCUCCAAGUUUACCUCAAGGUGUACUGUGUGAUGGAAUGAGUAUGCAUGCAACACAACUACCAAACUUAUGUGUCCAUUUUUUGUGAGUGGUGCAAAUUUGCAUUCGUUUCUAAAAAUUGGUUGGCUACUUGCAAGACUAAGAGGCUGUCUAUCAGUUUCCGGCUAAAUUGUUUUACUAUGGCUUGUAGAUUUUAGUUGUUCCAAUACAUUUGUUAUUUCUAAAAAAAAUUCCCACUUGAUAUCUGCAGAGUAGAGAUGUGGAGCUUGGAAGCAUUAUAUUGGAUUUGGAUCUCACUGAUAAUGCACCAGAUAUGUGGUUGUUUUAUUGUGAAGUGAGGCAUGUGAUGUCUUUGAUGCCAUUUUUGUUUACCUCAAUCUUGCCAGUCGUGCUUGAAUAGAGUCAAGGUUGAGAUCCAAACAAAAUUAUGCAUUAUAUGAUCUCUUACUUUAUAGGGAAAUGCAUUAGUACAUUGCUGUUGUGCAUAUGUGACUGCAAUUUGUAUUUCUGUCAUAUCUAUCAUUCCUGUACCCAUGUUUGAAACCAAUUUAAAUGGUCCUUUGGAGGGUUUUUCAAUUUAAUCAUGUGACACCCAUGUGCUGGUAUAUUUCAGUCCCUUGUGAAAUGCAUGUUUAUGUGUGUGAAAGCUUUUAGAAUAUCAUAAAUAUGUUCAGUUUUAGUGUCCAGCUCACUGCCGAUUCUCUUACUGCUUUUGUCGUGACCAUGCAAAUCAAUCAUCCUGUGAAUUGACUAUGCCUUGCUUACCUUGCUUUGGGUUUAUUUUGCUGUUUGUGACAUGUAGUAAGCUCAUCUAUCAUGGAUGGCUACUUUGAUUUUUUAGAUGUAGACAGUUCCUCAAACCUUCCUACUAAUUUGAGCAUUACCUACUUAAUUAUAACGUUGGGACUGAGCAUUACCUACUUAAUUAUAACGUUGGGAUCGUCACCUUCGCGCCAAGGCGAUCUAGUAAGCAUGUGAUUAGAGUCAUACAAAUAACAUAGGUAGUAUGUCUGGACAAUUGCAAUCAAAAGUAUCCCACGUUAAACCUAUUGCAAUAUUUGUUUCUUUCUUUUUGCAAAACUCUAUUGCUAUGAUGAUAUAGACAUUUAAGAGUCCGAACAGAUGGCAGCCCCUUAUUUGAAAGGGCUCCAUUGGAUCGGUCAUCGGCAUAAUUCGUGUAGCAUAUGGCAUCUCACAUCAAAUUUACUGUGAUUUAUUUGGCAGAUGGCAACAGGCAACUACCAGGGCGAGCCAGACACUCUCUAGUGGACAGGACAUGAUACCAACAAUAAUUGCUAAAGCUGGAAUGAGAAAAGUGGAAUCAAAAUAAAGCAGCGAAUCAUAUCAACUUCAUGAGAAGCGACAUAGCAAUUGACCUUGAGUACAUUUCUUUUUGUUUUGGAGGGACCUUCAACACAUUUUUUACAAGAAAAGAGGAGUCUCUGAUCCCAGACAAGAUCAAAGUCUCUGCACCUCAAAGAUCUCACCAAAAGCUGGAGGAUAAUACCAUUUUUUUUUAAACAAAUUCAAAACAAAUGCAAAACCAUUUUUAAAAGGACUUUUUUACAUGUUCGUACAGCUCCUGUCGAUUUUCAUGCAAAAAAGGAACAAUUAUGCUUCCUCAGGUAAAAAAGACAGUUUAAGCGCCAGAAAAUAAGCACAGAACUUGUUUCUGUACUGGUCGAAAUGCUUGGGUUUUCGCCGUAGAGACUUGCAAAUGACAUGUACAUGUCUGAAUUUUUCAUAUUUUUUCACAUUUAUAAAAGCAUUUUUGGCACGCAGGAGCAUAUGCUACCUUGAGCCGAAUUGAAUAUCCGCCACAACUAUAUAGAUAGAUCUCCGUUACAGCAAUUGAUGGGAUAAACCAAUUCUAUUAUACAGUAUUUCACAAACAUGUCACACAGCAUGUAUAUGCAUGCAUAAUAACAAGCACUGGUCUGUUCAUGCAUCCAUCACACAUAAUCUACGCCAAUAAAUCCAUCAUUACAAGUUCAUUAAUAUAUAUAACUGCUCAAACAAAACAGAAACACCACUCACAUCGGCGCCAUCCUUUUUAUUCCAGAAACAUUCAGUACUUGCUUAGCAUAUGCAUCGUUCCUGCCAUCAGUACAAGACACAAAUCAAUCCCCAAUUGUAUCAUGUAGCAUGCAUCUACUUUAUGUUUUUGCGGGUAUGUCUAUUUGCAUGAGAAGAAACAAAUGGCAAUUGAUUAAUCAAACUGUUCUAGUGAAACUGAACUGGAGCAACGGCAAGCGCAGGAGAUAGAAUAGAAGAACUUACACCAGGCAACGAUCUUCCAGCGCUGGUUGUCGCCCUCAGUCCACUCCCACAGAAUGAGGGUGGUUCCAUCACGCACACCGCCAUGGUCCUUGUCGCCAUGGAGCGCGUCAAAGUUCAAGUAGAUGUUGUUCACCAUCCUGAUGCAGCGGUAGCCUGCCCCGACGUCCCUGCUCUCGGUCCAAAGGACCGAUUCGUCCAGGGUGUCUGGAUUGUACCUGGUCAGACGAACCUAGGAUCCAAAAAACAAACCAGAAGGUAAGCAAAUUCACAAUACUGGAGCUGCACUUCAGGGUUGAGCAUGAUGAGCUCAUGACCAUGUGACACCUCAUAGCAAUUACCAAAUUAUUCUGGAACCAGUGUUGGUCCUUUUGUCUAACGAGUUCACCAUAUUAUUUUAGAGCUAGUGCUCCUCUCCACUACAGUGCUCAUGGACAACCGUAGAAGUGCUGUGAAAUAUAUGCACAUGGAUGCUAAUGUGGAAGGGGCCAUAACAGAUCACAGUCACAGCUGGUACACUUGACAUUUUUUUUCUUACAAAAUUUGCUGAGCAAGACAGUGAACAUGUACGUGCGUAGAAGUAUUUUUAUAGCUAUGAUCUUGAUGGUAAUAUGGAACACUGUUGCAGAUUUAAGUUUUUGACACUGACAAAAUUAAAAACGUUUGCUGAAUACGACACCUAGUAGACAAAUAUAAUUCCCAAGAACAGGGAGAAUUUCGCUCAUGCUGGACUAGUUUAUAUCAUUUUAGCCAAAAAAACACUAAAUCCUAGUGGUGAUUAUUCACUGAAACACCACAGGUCACACUGCCAAUAAGCUCAAAGUGCUUCUGUUCAUUCAAGCUUUGCCCAUUCUGUUUGCAGAAUCGCUGCUAGUAUGAUUGCAGAGAAAGUAGGCAUUUGGAAUGUGUGGCAUGUGGUGUGCUUGCAGAUACUCUGUUAUGCCUAAAUUUGCCAAAAUCAUGUAAGAUCUGCCGUGCACGCACGCAUCGGAUAGCAAAAAUUAGAAGUUGGAUGGAUGAGCUGAAGCAGGGAGGCUAGUUACAGGGUGGGAUUGGCCAAGGGAGUGCUUGAGCGCCUCUCCGCUGGCCUUGUUGACGAGUGCCAUGGCAGGGUAGCCUUCCUCAUCCUUCACCCUCGUGCUGUACUUCAUGUCCUUGAUCCAGUGCUGCAUCAUAUGUGUAUAUUCAAAUCCAUCAACCACAUGAUCAGAGAAGAAAUAAUAACACAUAAAAAUUUGCUUGAGCAAAAGCCAAACAGGAUUGCUGCUUUUCCCCAAUUAGAAAAGGACAAGGCAGAAACACCAAGUUCUCAGAUCCCGAUGGCAAGUUCACUAUACUAUUCUGGAUCGGGAUCAUGGAAGCAUGUGUGGCCGAUCUUCGAUCGAUCUUGCAGAGGUGUUAUGUGUGUGUACCUGCGUGUCGUCGUCGCGGUCGGUGCGGACGAGGCAGACCUUGCCGUCCCUGGCGGCGAGGCUGAAGCUGUCCUCGCCGGCCUUGCAGAGGAUCCUGUACGUCGGCUGCCUGGUCGCCGGGGGCGCCAUCCCGCCGCCGCCGUGGUGCGGGCGCGUCUCGUGGCCGUAGCCCCCGUACUGCGGCCUCUCGUCGCCGGACUCGUGGGAGACGUGCACCACGUUGCCGUGGGCGGGUGCGCCGUAGCCUUCGUCGCGGCCGCCUCCGUAGGCCGGAGCAGGGGCGUGGCGCCCGUAGUCACCACCGCCGUAGCCCGCAGGCGCGGGCGAGUGGCGCCCGUAGUCGUCCUCGCGGCCUCCACCGUAGGCCGGGGCCGGGGCACCGUAUGCCGGGGCGCGGCCUCCGUACUCAUCCUCGCGGCCGCCCCCGUAGGCGGGAGGCGGGGCACCGUAGGCCGGGGGAGGAGCGCCGUAGGCGGCGGGAGGGUGGCGGCCGUAGGCGUCGCCAGCGUCGUCGUCGGGGCGGCGGCCGUAGGACGGGGGAGGGGCGCCGUACGCAUCAGGCUCGUGGCGGCCGUAGGGGGCGGGGGCGCGGCGGUCUUCGUCGUCGUCGUCGCGGCGGCCGUGGCCGUGGCCGUGGCGGUGCGGGAAGUCCAUGAUUGACUGGCCUGUCGGUGGUCGGGAAAUGGGAACGCGCGCGGGGUAGUGGAGGUGGAUCUGAUCCGGGCCAAGCUCAGCCUAUAUACGUCGCGUCGCCGGAGUACAUGUCGACGGGCGGGUGAGCGCGCGACGUGGCGCCAAUCGCACGCACUCACACGACCGACCGCUUCAAUUUCGCAACUGGGCGAUGGCGAUCGGUGGGCCGGCGAGGUGUCCACCACGUGCACAGCUCGACGCAUACAGACUUCACUCGUCGACUACACAUGUCGCGGAUCGGCUCGGCGUUGAAAAUCAUGAUCGUAUCUCCUCCAUCAGAUGCAGAUCAGAUCGUAUCGAACCAAAUCAGUCAAGUACCAGCUCAACAAAAAUCAACCAAACACUCAAUUAUUGCUUGAAUUUCAAGAAAGAGGAAGAGGCAGAAAAAGGUUUCAAUGUGAUGUGUACGCUAUGGCCCAUAAAACAUGGAUAGUGCGGUUGUUGCAGCUGUGAUUUGAUUUUCUUGUGUGACAUUGGUGUAACAGCGAUAAAGAUAUGUACGGUGGUUGAUGAUAUAGUGGCAUCAAGCCACAUGUGAACGACUAUCAGACACUUUCAAAAUGUUUGCUCUCGCGGCGCCAUCUGUACCUCUUUGCCUCCGCCUCCACCUAGCCUCGCAACUUGCCGCCCUUCCCUAAUCCUCGGCGACCCUGGCCUCAACUCUGCAUACCUGAGGGCAGCCCCGACGCUGCGUCAUCCUACUCUCUGCUCGGAUAUGGAGCUCGGAGUUGCCUUGGGACCUAGUUCAGCGAGAUAUGGGAGGGCAGUGUCAUCUUCUUCUACCUCUAUGGGUGGAUGUGGUGCACAGGGGGGUGGUGUCAGAUCAGGAGAUUCGUGAGCUUCUGGAGGUGCUAGAUCGGGCGGAGCGGGCUACAGAGUUGGAAAGGGUCAGUUUAGCGGUUCUGGCCAUGUCGAGAACCAACGAGUAAGAGAAGACUCGAUUGUUCCACACUAGUCAACCGUUGAUAGCGGAGAGGAUCCUCACAUCGGCGGCUAAUGAGUGUAUUUUUUACACUCAUUCAACCAUUAUUUAACCCGGAUAUUCAUGGAUAUUCCAAGAUAAUCACUCAGAUUUGUCACUAAUGACUAGUGAAUGCAAAAGAUUAUAGAUCCCUUUUUAUAAUUUGUUGUUGCAGCUUUUGGACCAUAAAGGGGAGGAAAUUGAGUAAUACAUGGAAAAACAAAAGAUAGGAGAUCUAAGUCAUAUCAAAGGGAGGCGCCACAGGCUAUCCAGAGCGAAAGACGGUGUCUGGUAUGAGCGUGCACGCUCGCACCAUGCACUGUUGGCAACGUUACGUCAUCCGCGACAACCUUCAUAAAAGGGGUGAGGGUCUAUUUAGGAUCACCAUCAUCCAUCCCUAGAAACCCUAAUCGCCGACAUCUCCAUCUCCAUAGCAAUUCUCCCCAUAGUUUGUCGUAGUUGUAAUUGAUACAUCGCAUAUGGCGACAUUGAAAGACUUUAUACAAUCAUUCAUCUAUCAUCAAUGUUAUCUACAAUGUUUUCCAUCUGUGAUUUGAUUGAGAUGUGUGGGCAAUCCCCUCAGGCAUAAGCCUUGCAACCCUCUAUACCUAUGCUCGGGACCGUUGGUAUGACUUUACUUAAGUUGACAUUAUUUGUAUGUGUGUUAUUUGCAACACAUUUUUCUCUUGUCUUGUUCUCGUUCUAAGACACUGCGGGUACCCAGAAUAUUUCAGACCAAUUCAAGAGGAGGUAAAGUGCAUGGAUACAUGGGAGGCUACACCAAACACCGAUGAUAGUAAUGAUUUGUAUAGUAGCCGAGAGCAACUCUCUAGGGACCAUGAGGUGCAAUCAUUAAAUGAAAAAUGCAUCAGUCUAGAAAAAUCCUUAAUAAUCUAGGUAACCCAGCACGGCGGUAAGGUCCUUGAUUGGACAAUAGACUUAUGAUGUAGGUUGUUGAUUGGUUGAGAUGUUAUUUGGGCGCAUCCCCCACGUCUAAUCAUUGAGAGCACAUCAUAACGGUGUCUAUCAGGACCAUGUUGGAAAUAAAGAUAAGAUCCUAAGUGCAAGUAUAAGGUUGUAAGUAAAGUCCUCAUGCCCAUGCAUAUUCCCUUCUAUUUGACCUCUCUCCCUCCCNNNNNNNNNNNNNNNNNNNNNNNNNNNNNNNNNNNNNNNNNNNNNNNNNNNNNNNNNNNNNNNNNNNNNNNNNNNNNNNNNNNNNNNNNNNNNNNNNNNNNNNNNNNNNNNNNNNNNNNNNNNNNNNNNNNNNNNNNNNNNNNNNNNNNNNNNNNNNNNNNNNNNNNNNNNNNNNNNNNNNNNNNNNNNNNNNNNNNNNNNNNNNNNNNNNNNNNNNNNNNNNNNNNNNNNNNNNNNNNNNNNNNNNNNNNNNNNNNNCAACCACUGCUUGUUCGGUCCAGGAAACUUAAAUUUCUUACAAGAACGAUAGCUUUGCUUGAAUCCAUGUCUAACCGUUGAACUUCCCAUGGUUUCGAUACCCACUGUCACCCCUGGGGAAAGAGGUGAGGACUAUCUACAUUCAAAACUGGAUCAAAGGUAAUCAACGGUGAAGGAUCCUAUCGUGACCUCCCGAGUCUAGCGAGCCCGAUGGAGGUUAUUCACGGUGGAGUUCGAUUAGAGGGCUCCGCGACCUCUCAUUCCUUGCCUUGUGGGAAUCUAUCAUCAUCCUUUUCGGUGGGAGACAAUCGUCCUUCUCUAGAUUGCUCGUCACGCCUGCAUCUCAUGUUGAUGGGUGGCAGAGGUUUCAUCUUCGAGCAAAUGCUUAUCAAACACGAGAAGGCCGACAGUCAGGCUGCGCAGGCUAAGCAAAGAAUGUCGCCCCGAGUCAAGCCGGUGCUUCCCCUCUAAAAGGGCAUUUCCCUACCUAAGUGAUUUUGAUGUAGAUGACAACGUAAUUUGCGGUAUAAUCGUGUGCUUGAGCUAUACAUGUAUAUUCGAAAAGUGGCACUUGAUGGUUAGGUUCCCCUCUAAAACAAUAAGACCAAAGGCGGCGUUCUUACGAUUUAUUUUCUAUUGAGUCGCAGGGAAACUGUAUUAUUGAUAGGGGUUCCGCGUUGAAAGGUAUGUCUGGAAUUAAACACAUACAAAAAUCAUACUACACCAACAUGAGCUUCCCAACUUUUGAGGAGUUUCCCAUCUAAUUUCUGCUGCUCUUGUUUUUCGCUACCGGUAGUACCGGGGUAGGCAGUGUUAGAUCCCCUCCCUCAAGGGAGCAAUGCUGCUGCUGCUUGUCAUCCAGGCCAGUAGUACCGCACUAUGACCGAUAGUAUGGCUCCCUUGUGGAGCGGCACUACUGGACAUAGUGUUGGACCUACUACCACGGAGGGGAGGGGUCUUUCCCUCUAUUUUUGCCGUGGUGCUAGAGCGGCACUGGCAGUACCGGAUAUUCUAUUUUAGCUGGUAGUACUAGUGCCUGUUGCGAAAGUACCGCUUGGGCACUGGCAGUGCAAUUCGUAUGGGACUGCAGUCAUACCGCUCAGUUGAAAUCUGGUGUAACAGUUGGACUGGGAGGACUAUAAGAAGAGGUCUUCUUCCCCAAGUUGAGUGACCUCUUGCCUGAAGGAAAUAUGCCUUAGAGGCAAUAAUAAAGUUAUUAUUUAUUUCCUCAUAUCAUGAUAAAUGUUUAGUAUUCAUGCUAGAAUUGUAUUAACCGGAAACAUAAUACAUGUGUGAAUACAUAGACAAACAUAGUGUCACUAGUAUGCCUCUACUUGACUAGCUCGUUAAUCGAAGAUGGUUAAGUUUUCUAGCCAUGGACAUGAGUUGUCAUUUGAUUAACGGGAUCACAUUAUUAGGAGAAUAAUGUGAUUGACUUGACCCAUUCCGUUAGCUUAGCACUUGAUCGUUUAGUAUGUUGCUAUUGUUUUCUUCAUGACUUAUAGAUGUUCCUAUGACUAUGAGAUUAUGCAACUCCCGUUUACCGGAGGAACACUUUGUGUGCUACCAAACGUCACAACGUAACUGGGUGAUUAUAAAGGUGCUCUAUAGGUGUCUCCGAAGGUACUUGUUGGGUUGGCGUAUUUCGAGAUUAUGAUUUGUCACUCCGAUUGUCGGAGAGGUAUCUCUGGGCCCUCUCGGUAAUGCACAUCACUAUAAGCCUUGCAAGCAUUGUGACUAAUGAGUUAGUUGCGAGAUGAUGUAUUAUGGAACGAGUAAAGAGACUUGCCGGUAACGAGAUUGAACUAGGUAUUGAGAUACCGACGAUCGAAUCUCAGGCAAGUAACAUACCGAUGACAAAGGGAACAACGUAUGUUGUUAUGCGGUUUGACCGAUAAAGAUCUUCGUAGAUUAUGUAGGAGCCAAUAUGAGCAUCCAGGUUCCGCUAUUGGUUAUUGACCGGAGACGUGUCUCGGACAUGUCUACAUAGUUCUCGAACCCGUAGGGUCCGCACACUUAAAGUUAGAUGACGAUCGGUAUUAUGAGUUUUGUGUUUUGAUGUACCGAAGGUAGUUCGGAGUCCCGGAUAUGAUCACGGACAUGACGAGGAGUCUCGAAAUGGUCGAGACAUAAAGAUCGAUAUAUUGGACGACUAUGUUCGGACACCGGAAUGGUUUCGGGAAGUUUCGGACACAUACCGGAGUACCGGGGGGGUUACCGGAACCCCCUGGGGAGACUAAUGGGCCUAUUCGGCCCUAGUGGAGAAUAGGAGGGGCGGCCAAGGGCAGCCGCGCGCCCCCUUCCCCCCAGUCUGAAUUGGACAAGGAGGGGGGCGGCGCCCCCCUUUCCUUUCCCCCUCUCUCUCCUUCCCUCUCCUCUCCUACUCCCACUUGAAAGGGGGGAGUCCUACUCCCGGUGGGAGUAGGACUCCUCAUGGGGCCGGGCCCCUCCCCCUCCUCCACUCCUUUAUAUACGGGGAGGGGGGCACCCCUUGGAGACACAACAAUUGAUCUCUUGAUCUCUUAGCCGUGUGCGGUGCCCCCCUCCACCAUAUUCCACCUCGAUAAUAUCGUAGCGGUGCUUAGGCGAAGCCCUACGUCGGUAGCAUCAUCAUCACCGUCACCACGCCGUCGUGCUGACGAAACUCUCCCUCAAAGCUCAGCUGGAUCGGAGUUCGAGGAACGUCAUCGAGCUGAACGUGUGCUGAACUCGGAGGUGCCGUACGUUCGGUACUCGGAUCGGUCGGAUCGUGAAGACGUACGACUACAUUAACCGUGUUGUGCUAACGCUUCCGCUUUCGGUCUACGAGGGUACGUGGACACACUCUCCCCUCUCGUUGCUAUGCAUCACCAUGAUCAUGUGUGUGCGUAGGAAAUUUUUUGAAAUUACUACGUUCCCCAACAUUGCCUUCUCUCCUCCAUUGUUUCCCAAAACUUUUAAAUCUCUUAGAUCUCUCUCCCUAGCAACUCAAACUUGUUUAUCUUAUAGGAUUUGAGAGAGAAAACCUAGAUUUAUCACUCCACCGAAGGAAAAAUUAUUCCCACUUGCUUUCCCUGGAACUUCUUACUCUUGGAUGUUUGGGCACCCUAGAAAGAAGUGGUCACCUCAAAGCUCCAAUCACUGUGGUGAGGCUUUGUGGUGGUGUUGGGAGCCUCCAAUCAAGGUUUUUGAGUCGCGACUUGGUGAGUCGCCGCGAGCCCUGCGGCUCGGCGUAUAGUCGACGAAAGUCGUUGUAUAGUCACCAUAUGUCGCUGUAUAGUCGCGAGUCGCCCUGAUUUUUGGAAAACGACUUGGCGAUUAGUCGGUGACUAUGCAGCGACUAAUCAGCGACUCAAAAACCAUGCCUCCAAUUAAGUUGUGGAAUUUACCCCAGCCUGGUUUGUGAAGGUCCGGUCGCCGCCACCAAGGGCACCGCGUAGCGGAUCGUAGCACCUUGCAUUGUGCAAGGGCACGAGGAGAACAAGAUGAGCCAUUGUGGAGCUUGGUGAGCAUAGUGCCUCCACACCUCUUCAAUGGAGACGUACCUCCCCAAAUGAGGGAACACCGGGAACAAUAUCAUUGUCUCCACUUGUGGUUUAUUCUUUCCUUCACUUAGUUUGUGCUAGUUAGUAUUAUUGUGCAUCUUAUCUAAGUUGUUAUUAUUUUGAGCCUGUCAUAUAGGUUGUCCAUCUAGUUGCAUAUCUAGAUAAGCUAUAUUCUUGUUGUAUCCUUUAAAAUUGGAAAAGAGAUUAAAAAUUGUUAAUCAUUUGUUCACCCCCUCCAGUCAACAAUAUCAAUCCUUUGACCCUCUCCUACCGACCCUAUCAUUGCCAAACAUGAAGGAGCGGUGAGGCUCUCUCAUCGUGCUCAUCUCUAUUGUUAGCGGGCGAGGAGAGGGGAUCUCAUAAGAAAAGCAGAGGAGCGCAAGGCGGGUUGCCGAAUCGGGUUUCUGAAUCCACUUUUGAUAUUUCAUCGACACCCUGUGGGGGUGCCUCCUUCUUUACCCAGAACUAGCGUAGGCUGACUCCACAUCUUCGAUCUCAAGGGAGGAGGAGACGCAAGCCGCUUUGAGCCAGCCUCCAACAUUGAUUGCCAUGGCUGAUGUCGAGUGUGGUCGGGGGCCCUUCCAAUUCAACUAUGGCUUCCCCCUCCAAUUACCAUGCAUGUAAGUAUAUUCCUUCUGAUAGCCAGCAACUACUAGGAUCUUAGAAAUCUAAGCAGGGGUAGUUGGAGAAGAAUCCUAGAUCUAAUAGUGAGGUCGAUUGCGCUCUAAAGCUCAAUUCAUAUGCUCCAUUUACCUUGUCUAACUGUAGUGAGCCUAGGCAGCAAAAUAGUGAUUGUUCCAAACGAAAGGCCCAUUUUAUUUGUAAUCAAGUGGAGAAUUGUCCAGACAGGAAACAACCUCACAUCACUUCUAGAUAUAUUGGCAGUGAUGUGACAUGACAUGGCUUCUAUAAGGUUGAGAUCCCUCAGGUGAAUGCCCAGUUACUUAGACAUCUCCAAAAUAUGGGUGUAGUGUACAUUGAGGUAUGCAUAAUAUCACAACAAGAACUGGCUAGUGAAUUUGGGAUCAUUUAUAAGUCUAACUGGCGAUGGAGGUUAGAGCCUUGGAUGAUGGAUCUUUUUAGUCAAAUUCCCUCUUGAGACUCAUUCCCAUAUGGCGUGAGUGGGCUAAGUUUGAUCAAAUUACUCUCUAUAUUUGGUCUCCCGCAGGAUGUAGUUCGAAAAGGCAUGUUUAGCUCUUUUCUAUGGUGUGAUCAGGGUUAAGGUGGCCUACAAAGACAACACUAAAAUUCCACCUAACACACUACUUUCAUGGCUCGGAAAUAUUAUCUCUAGCGGUUGGAAGUAGAAUCCCCAACUCAUGGGAUCAACUCAGUGUUGAACAAUAGCAGAGCCAAUAACUUAGGCGAUGGCAUUAUGGAUUCUGAUAGGGGAGUUGGGUAUGGUUCUCAUGGAAGGAAAAGCAAUAAGAAAAGCAAUAAAAUCUCUAUAGUACCUCUCAAACAAGUAUGCAACAAUGGGUGAAUAUUCUAGGCAGUGUAUGGAGGGUGUAUUUCCAAAUACAAGAUGAACAUUUUUCAGAAUAUAUAGUACUCCCUCAGAUUUAUUUAUUUUGUCACCCAAAUGGAUGUAUCUAGACAUACUUCAGUUCUAGAUACAUCCGUUUGAGUGACAAGUAAUAUGAAUCGUGGAGAGUAACAAAUUUUAAAUGCACGAUGAAUAUUUUCCAAAAUACAUGAUGACAUUUUUCUAAUACACGAUGAACAUAGUUAAUAAAUGGUGAAUAUUUUUAAAUACAAUAUGAACUUCUUUAAUACAUGUGGUACAUUUUUAGUACGCGUUGAACAUUUUUAAAUACACAAAGAACAGUUAUUGAAAUAUUGGAUGAUUUUUUUAAAUACAUGGUUGUUCUUUUAAACACAAUGAGCACUUCCGAAAUACAUUGUCGAUUUUUUAAAAAUAUACCCCAAACAUCUUUCAAAAUAUGUGACAAAAACUUUUUUCAACAUGGUGAAGAUUCUUAAAAUACACAAUGAACAUUAUGCUAAACCCGACAAAAAUAAUAAGAACCAUCACCGUAAAAAUGAUAAUAAGAAACUUUUAUAUCACAAAGGAAUAAUAAAUCUACUUAAAAUAAGUUAUGCAAAAGAAAUUAACAAAGAAAAGGAAAACAUAAAACAAUAUGAAAUGUAAAAUAUAUUUAAAAUAAAUUGUGUUUCUUUAUUCAAAGAAGGAAUGGUAAAAUAGUAAACCAGAAAGGAAGAAUAAAGAAAAAGUCAAAGCAAAAAAAAAAUAGUUCCAAAACCAGAAAAAAGGAGAAGAAGUGGGCCGACAUAGAUCGAAGUGUUGUAGGUGAGCAAAAGAUGUGAAUCACAAUAGGUGAGAUAUAGCAUCCGCGGCAACCUACGUGCAUCGGCUCGAGCUUUUGUACUCACUCAUGGCAUGGCCUAAAAUUUUGGCUCUUUCAUUAUGUUCAUUUUUUCUUUAUGGGGAGUUAUGUAUCACUUAGUGCGAGACGUAAGUCCGUCUCUUCUCUGGCGCUGGCUACGCGGUCGCUUUAGUAGGCCGGCUCAUUACGACGGUUUUGGGAAGGUUCUUUAUACUAGUUUUAGAACCUUCCAUGCAUUUUUUCUCAGUUUCUCCAUUGGUUUUUAUUACAUUUUCUUAGUUUCAUUUUUUCAAAUACAUGUCAAUGUUUAAAAAUACAGGUUGUACAUUUUCCAUAUACAUGCACAAUAUUUUUUUAUACACGUUGAUUUUUUUAAAUACAUGGUGCACUUUUGGUUUUCAAAUAAAUGUUAAGAAGUUUUAAAUGCACAUUGAACACUUUUUUGUAUGGUGCGAGAGAUUUUUUAAAUGUCAUGAACAUAUAUCUAUAAUGGAUGAACUUUUUUAGAUGUUGCGUUCAAUUUUUUUUUGCAUGGCAUAAAUCAUUGUUUUAAGCUUACUGAACAAUUUUUUGCAUUGUAGAAACAUUUUUCUCGAAAUGUGCAAAUAUUUUAUUAUAUGUCACUGACAUUUUUCUGAAUGUUUUGAAUCAUUUUUAGAAAAACUAUACGAACUUUGUGUAAUGCAGCAGUAUUUCUCGUGGAACAUAACACUGGGGCUGAGGUCUGCGAAUCAUUUAAUGAGCCAGCCCGUGACAGAUUGAGGUGCCCAAAUUAUCUGACGAAAUCACUAAUUGAGGAAUGCUUGUUGCAAAGAUCACUCCAAUUCCCCUGAUUGCGACAAAUGGCGCACAUGCAGCGCACCACUUGUCGCAACUUGGGAGUUUUCCCUUUUUUUCGUAGAUCCAUUUAUUCAAAACGUUUUAUCUUUCAAACUAUGCGUUCAAAUCUCGAACCGCUUUCACCGUUGGAUUCCUCGUCUUCAAAACUAGAUUUUUUAAAUGUCAUGAACAUAUAUCUAUAAUGGAUGAACUUUUUUUAGAUGUUGCGUUCAAUUUUUUUUAAUGGCAUAAAUCAUUGUUUUAAGCUUACUGAACAAUUUUUUGCAUUGUAGAAACAUUUUUCUCGAAAUGUGCAAAUAUUUUAUUAUAUGUCACUGACAUUUUUCUGAAUGUUUUGAAUCAUUUUUAGAAAAAUUAUACGAACUUUGUGUAAUGCAGCAGUAUUUCUCGUGGAACAUAACACUGGGGCUGAGGUCUGCGAAUCAUUUAAUGAGCCAGCCCGUGACAGAUUGAGGUGCCCAAAUUAUCUGACGAAAUCACUAAUUGAGGAAUACUUUUUGCAAAGAUCACUCCAAUUCCCCUGAUUGUGACAAGUAGGCAGCCCAUUUGCAUGCAGCGCACCACUUGUCGCAACUUUGGCAGUUUUCCUUUUUUUCGUAGAUCCGUUUAUUCAAAACGUUUUAUCUUUCAAACUAUGUGUUCAAAUCUCGAACCGCUUUCACCAUUGUAUUCCUCGCGUUGAGAUCUUCAAAAUUAGAUCCCAUGUUGAUAUGUUUUGACGAACUAUUUUUGACGAAAAAACCGAACCGGGCGCACGGGUUUUUUCCCUUUCGAAAGAGGCACGCCCGUGCCUCUCACGAAAUCACAACCGUGCCUCUCGCGGAAGCAAAACCGUGACUCUCGCGGAAGAAAAAAAAAACGCGUUUUUUCCGUUUCCGAGGAGGCACGGCCGUGACUCUCGUGAAAGCACAACAAUGCCUCUUGCGGAAGCAAAACCGUGACUCUCGCGAAAAGAAAAAAAAACAAAAAACGCGUUUUUCCCUUUCCGAGAGGCACGGCCGUGACUCUCGCGAAAGCACAACCGUGCCUCUCGCGGAAGCAAAACCGUGACUCUCGUGAAAAAAAACAGAAAACAUGUGUUUUUUUCCUUUCCGAGAGGCACGGCCGUGACUCUCGCGAAAGCACACCCGUGCCUCUCGCGGAAGCAAAACCGUGACUCUCGUGAAAGAGAAAAACAGAAAACGUGUUUUUUCCUUUCCAAGAGGCACGGUUGUGACUCUCGCGAAAGCAAAACCGUGCCUCUCGCGGAAGCAAAACCGUGACUCUCGCGAAAGGAAAAAAAUUAAAACACGUUUUUUCACGCAAAAUUUUUUUUUUCCAAUUUUUUUAAUUGAAAAGCUAAGGAAGACCGGUGAAAAACCAAAGCAUCGAAAAAAACUCGGAAAAAACCGUUUAAAAAGCCGAAAACGCGUGCGGAAAAUUAAAAAAAAAAUCAGAGGGAGCGCCAGAGCGCGACACGUGGCGAAUGGCUGAGAGCACGCUAAGUGACGCUGAUCGUUACGAGGCUCCCGAAAGAGCACUCGUUAACUAGUUGCUCUCACCAUCUGAGCCUUUUGGCACAACGGCCAUUCUGGGCCGCAUUGCAAGGGAUCUGGGCCGUUGCACUAAUUGCGGGUAGCUGCCCGUCCCCAUCUUCCCCCAAGGCUUCCUCUACAAGAUUCCCCCACCCCUUCUUGCUAAAUCCUAUUUGACGCCUUAUGCGCCCGCUAUAGUACAACUCGCAAUCGGGCGCAUACCCCCACCUCUCCGCUGGGCCGGCCCAUCUAGAUUUUUUCCUCUGUUUUUCAAAUCGCGAAAAAACAUAUGGUAGUGCUUUGAUUCGAACCCGAGACCUCCUGCUUAACAAUAAGCUGCAUAACCACCCAGCCACCCCCAACUGGACGUGCUACUUUAAUGUUUCUACGCCUUUUACUUUGUUCUUUUUUUCUUCUGCUUUCCUUUUUCUGGUUUUCUCUUUCGUUUUUUCUUUUUUGUUUUUCUUCUCCCUGGGUUUGAUGAACUUUUUCUGAAAUUCGUGAACUUCUUCUUAACAUCGAUCAACUUUUGUCAAAUGCGUUGAACUUUUUUCAAAUUUGAUGAACUUUUUUCCAAAUUGGAUGAACUAUUUUUCAAAUUUGAUUAACUUUUUUCAAAACCGAUGAUCUUUUUUCAAAUUAUAUGAACUUUUUCAAAAUUUGAUGAACUUUUUUAAAACUGAUGAACUUUUUUCAAAAUUAGGUGAACUUUUUCUAAAUUUCGCGAACUUUUUCCAAAUUUUGUUGAACUUUUUUUCCUAAAUUCAUGAACCUUAUAUCAAAAUCGGUUAACUUUUUUUUAAUUCGUGAACUUUUUUAAAGUUUGAUGAACUUUUUUAAAAAAAUUCGAAAAAAAAUCUCGAAAGUCAAUGGUCAAUGGCUCACCGGUCUACCAUGAAACGUUCGAGCGUUUUUUCGUUUUUUUUUCUUUUGAGUAAACGAAACAAACGAGCGGGAUAGGUGGGGAAGCAGGCGUCGUACGAGCUCGUCGGCUCGUUCAUGGGCCGGCCCACUUUGCCAGGCGCGUGGGCGCUGGUUUCCUCUUGCGGCGCAUAAGGCGCUAGCGAGGAGCACUCCCCCCUUCUUCCCCAUUUCCACUUCCACACACCACUUCCCAAAUCCAGAGCCACCCUACCCAGCGAUUCCACCGACGGCGAUGUCCACAUCCGGUUCGUCCUCCGUUUCUGCCGACCGGGACAGCCUCCCCCCGAUCCCCUGCACGGACUGCGGGGGCCACAUCACCACCAUUGCCUCCCGCGGCGGCUCUCGUCCCGGGACCCAGAUCUACAAGAAACUCCGCCGCAGCGUACGUGUUCUUGCCCAUUCCCCUCCAUUAUUAGUCGUCCUCCUGCAUUUCGCAGCGUCACAGCUUAGUCUGUUCCCCCGUUUCGCAGGCUGUUCUUGGCUGGUUCUUCCGCUGGUCAGACGGGUACGCGCUGGCCGAUGUUGCAAGGAUGACCCUCCUCCUCGGCGUGACCAAUCUGCUCGUCAACCUGCUUGUUCUGGCUCUCGUGCUGCGGCUGUUCGCAAAGCGGAAUGCAUCUAUGGCGUAAUCUAAUCUAGAUGCUGGUGGAUGGCCGGCCGUAGUAUCAGUAGUAGUAGGUCUUGUUGUCACGGCGCCCUCUUUAAAAUUAGCGUGGUAGUAGUCCCGCCGUGUUAAAUUAGUGUGGCUGUAGCCCGCUAUGGGCUUUGAUUAGUGCAGUCCCUCUCUGUGUCAAAUUAGUGCGGUCUCUUCAGUGUCAGCAAGCUGUAGCUUUUGGGUUGACGAUGGAGUGUUUGUGCUUGCGGCUGUGCCACCAUUUGUCUGGUCUGGUCUGGUCAGCACGCUUGCAAAUUAUGGUCCACUAUGUAAUCCAUUAGCACUUGUAUCUAAUUAAUGGAUGUUGUUUGCCAAGUUACAUUUGUCAGUAUUUUACUGUUUUCCAAAUAUCAAAUGAGCACGACUUGUCACUUCG